GUGAGCUUUAGGACCAUAAGAAGGCCUCAGAGCGGUUGGGUAAACUGUUGGGAGUGUUUAAAGACUGAAUUUAGGAGCACGCAGCCGGCUGAUGGGCUGUGUGAAGGCAAAGCUUUUGGAAGGCUGGCUGUACCAGCACAGGACGGGGAGUUGAGCAUAGUUCAGUGCACGCGUUGUGUUCUUUCACCUAGUUGUAAAAUGAAUAGAAGCUGGUUACUCUUUAGUUGCAUGAGGUAGCUGGCAAGGUGACUGUUGUUCAAUUUAACAGAAAAAAAAACGAAAUUAGUUUUUAUUCGCAGUGCUGAGCUAGUAUUGUAACUGACAUGCAACGUUAGCUAAUGAUUCAUCCCCUCUCGACUGACGUGAAUGAAGAAGCUGCGCUAUUGAGUAGCUACCACAACCAGGAGGAUCAGGUGGUGACAGGGGUCUCUGCAGGGUCAGGCAGCCAGGGAAGACCAGUCUGUGAUGGAGGUCUGUUUAGUUUGCUAGUGCCUCUGGGCACAUGGAGGGAUGAGGCAGGGAGGGAGAGCAGCCUGGAGCCCCUGCCUGCCAGGAGCUCCCCUGCCUGGCUCGGGGGAAGGUUGGGCUGGAUUAGACGGCUGACAGCUGGGCCAGAUCUCUGGAGGCGCCGGGUGGAAAGGCCCCCUGUCUGACUGCCGCUGCACCAAGUGUCAAUUUGAGCAUGAAGGAAGGUGCAGGGAGCAGGUGAAUAGAGGGAUGGAGGGAGUGAGCGAGCGAGAGAACAGGGGCCACUGGUAGUCCUCUGUGGAUUGACAUCAUUGGUGCAUGGGCCGUGCACACCGUUAGGCAUCGAGAAACACACUGUUUAUUUAGGAGGAGCUUCCGACUUGGGAGCACAAACGUGCACACACGGAUGGAGGACGCGCGCGCGCAGACACACAUGGAUAGACAGACAGAGACAAAGCCCACUUACAAGGGUUGAGCUCUGCCCUCUUCUAUAUGUAAGUCUUGUUGUCGGUAGAAGUGAGUAGGGGAGAAAGUCUAACUUGCAUAGUGACAGCAUGUACUUACAUUACCUUGUUGUUUAAGUAACACACCCACAUAUUUUAGAUAUCGGCAGGUAGCCACUGGUUUGAAUACCUGAGUCAACAAGUUGAAAAAUCUUUCGAUGUGCCCUUGAACAAGGUAAAUAACCCUAAUUUGGUCCAGGGGAACUGUACUACUAUGGCUGACACUGUAAAAUAAAACAUAUCUUUAUAUUUAGGAAACAACAGCUUAAAUAAUGCCUGGAACUCUUCUUGGGAACCCACAGCUUUUCUAUAAUGGAAAUAUAACCCACCUCAGGCAGCAUCCUAUACAAUUAAGUGCAAUCAAGAUUACAG
ensembl:lncRNA